CUACAGAGGGUGCAAGCGUUAUUCGGAAUUACUGGGCGUAAAGCGCGCGUAGGCGGAUGAUUAAGUCAGUUGUGAAAGCCCUGGGCUCAACCUAGGAACUGCAUCUGAUACUGGUCGUCUAGAGUUUAAGAGAGGGAAGUGGAAUUCCAGGUGUAGCAGUGAAAUGCGUAGAUAUCUGGAGGAACAUCAGUGGCGAAGGCGACUUCCUGGCUUAAAACUGACGCUGAGGUGCGAAAGCGUGGGUAGCGAACGGGAUUAGAAACCCGAGUAGUCC
rnacentral:rRNA from 1 species